rnacentral:sRNA from 1 species
CAUAACCUACAUGCUUGUGUGGUACAUUUCUUGGCAAAUGGCAGACGUCUACGGGUGGCCAGUGAUUCGGGAUUACUUUACAUUUUUUUUUCUUAAGAGAAGAUAAGUUUAUAUUCUUUUUCGUGUGAUUGUUUCUUUGCAAUAUAAUGGGUUUUUUUUUUCUAUAGUUAUCUUGAAGUUGCUUAAUGUACUGGAAAUCGUGAAUGGUUCAAUGAGGCAUGGAAGUCGUCGGCGCUGUCCCUGUAUUUAGGCUUUCUUUUUUUCUACGGUAAUCCGUUGAAGUCUCUUGUCGAUGUUACAUUUUAUAUAUUGUUCUAUACUGGUGGUUCGUUCAUUUGUGUUUCCAUUAUGUUGAGCAGUUGAAAACGUGUGUACUGCGUGCCCUGUCUGUUGUAAAAAUAUUAAUAUAUUUUCUUUCUGUGAUUACUGGAAACACCUAUGCAAAUGCAAGGAGAUUAGGAGAGGAGGCAAUCAGACACCUAAUCACCACAUGUAUUUUAUACGCUGCAAUGGUACUGUGCUGAAUUGCUG